rnacentral:rRNA from 1 species
UACGGAGGGAGCUAGCGUUGUUCGGAAUUACUGGGCGUAAAGCGCGCGUAGGCGGCUUUGUAAGUUAGAGGUGAAAGCCCGGGGCUCAACCCCGGAACUGCCUUUAAGACUGCAUCGCUUGAAUCCAGGAGAGGUGAGUGGAAUUCCGAGUGUAGAGGUGAAAUUCGUAGAUAUUCGGAAGAACACCAGUGGCGAAGGCGGGUCUCUGGGCCGAUACUGACGGCUGAGGAGCGAAAGCUAGGGGAGCAAACGGG